rnacentral:rRNA from 1 species
CAGUAGCCGCGGGAAUACGGAGGGUGCAAGCGUUAAUCGGAAUUACUGGGCGUAAAGCGCACGCAGGCGGUUUGUUAAGUCAGAUGUGAAAUCCCCGAGCUUAACUUGGGAACUGCAUUUGAAACUGGCAAGCUAGAGUCUUGUAGAGGGGGGUAGAAUUCCAGGUGUAGCGGUGAAAUGCGUAGAGAUCUGGAGGAACAUCAGUGGCGAAGGCGGCCAUCUGGGACAACACUGACGCUGAGGCACGAAAGCGUGGGGAGCAAACAGGAUUAGAGACCCCAGUAGUCCCUGUCUCUUAUAC